UUCAGUAAACUGUAUGUAUUGAAAGCGUGCAAUUUGGUUUCUGACAUGUUAUACACUCAUGAAACUAACUGCAAUCAAGAUAACAAACAUAUUCAUCAUUCCCAAGAGUUUCCUCAUGCUCCUUUAUAACCACUCAUGCACUCCACUUCCUUGCUGAAAUCUCUGCACUGGUUUCUGCCACCAUAGAUAUCAGUUUUGUCUAACUUCUUUCACUGAGAAUAAUUAUUUUGAGAUACAUCUUUGCUAUUGCAUGGAUCAAUCAUUCAUUCUUUUCUCGUUCUGAGUAGUAUUUCAUUAGAUGCACAAUUUGUUUACCUGUUCCCUUGUGAAGAAGAAACAUUUUGGCUGUUUAUUUUUGCCAAUUGCAGAUAAAGCUACUAUGAAUGUUUGUGUCGAAGUCUUUGUAUGGACACCUGCUCUCAUUUCUUGGGUUCAUGCAGAGAAGUGGAAUGCUGGACUGCCUAGUAGCUGCAUGUUUAACUUUUAAAGAAAGUGCAGAACUAUUUUCCAAAAAUGCUGUAGCAUUUUACUCUUGCGCUUCACUCCCCUGCAGAAGUCUCUGCACUGUUUGUAAAAUGUAGGUCACUGCUUGCUGUGUUUAAGAGUUUCAGUUUCUCCACAUCCUCAACAACAUUUCAUAUGGUCAGUAUUUUUAAUGUUGACCAUUAUAAUAAGUAUAUAUAUAUAUUUUAGUGGAACUUCAGGUGAGUGAUUUUAAAGACUUCCUUGCUAGGAAAUAGGAAAAUAAGAAAAAUGCAUUCAGUCCUCUUUUUCUUUCUGCACUGUCUUAGAUAUUUCAGGUUCGGUAUCUGUUCCAAAACCUUUCUCUCUGCUCUACCAUGGCCAAAAGAGUUCAUUCACCUUUCCCCUUUGACUCUUGCAGACAAUUGUGUGCCUUUAAAGGAAAUAACAACAAGAAUUAGGAGCGCCCUGGAGGCAAGGAAGACAAGAUGUGGUUUGGGGAUUUCAACUUCCAAGUUCAGCUGUGAGGCCUAUGGACUGAAUCUUAAGCUUUUUCUUGACAUCAGAUAUCUCCAUGUAUAUGGCAAUUCCUGCCACAGAAAUCUACUCUCAAAAAAGUCCCGGAACCCCUGAGGUCUGCUUCUGGGGAAACAAAACCACGGUAACUUUAGAAAUAUGGUAUUAAUGGGUAAAGACACCAUGGAUAUGAAGGAGAUUACCUAUGGAAGAAUAUUAAGAAGAGAAGAAGGUAAAUAAUCUUCCUUGAGGAACAUCCACAUUUAAAGGUCAGGGAGAAGAUAUAUCAGCAGAAGCAUCAGAGGGGGUUGUGGACAAACUAUUUUCAAAAACUAAGAUGUGAAGACCACUAGAAUUUGCUUAAAUGCUGUUGGAAAAAGAUAUAGCAAACAGGAGUGUGAAAAUAUAGGUAAGUGAAAAGAGGAAUAGUCACUGGUGUAAGAUUCCCAAGGGAGUAAGAUAAAAUUGAAUCCAGGUCCUGAAUGCUGGGAUAAACUUUGCAAAAUAUUUGGUAGGUUGGGUCAUAGAAAACAGAGGAAGUUCUUCUCUGAUAUUUGGAUAAUUCUGUAUUUGGAAACAACAAGAUAAUGGAUUGUCUUUCUUCCUACUUUUACCUUACUGUUUGAGUACUGGCAUGAACAAAACUCAGAACAUAAUGAAUCUCACUUAUUUCCAAGUGGGCUACUCCGUUAUUUAAAAAAACACAUCACAUGGACAUGGAGUUUGAGGAAAAUAUUUAUUCUAUUUAAUAUUAAGUUAGGCUUCCUUCCUCUAUUCAUCAAAUUGAACUGGAUAGAAUAGGAGUCCCUAAUCCAACACCUCCAACUGGAGAAACAGUCUACUGAUUCUCACAGAUCUCAUGCCCUGCUUUGUGUAGAUAAUUUUCAUAUGGAUUAUAAUGAAUAAUAUUAAUUUAAACAAUUCCCUAGAAGCCUAAAACAUUUUGUUUGAAGCUCUUCUUUGUCCAUCUAAAAAUAACAUCUGCUCUACAAGGCUACCAUCAUAAUUGAGUUCUACAUCUCCAGUCACAACUAGAACCAAAAUUACAGUGGACAUACAAUAAUUCUUUAUCUCUUGGUUCCAGAUUUUUCUCAGUUAUUUAUAUCUCUCUAUUAUGGUCUCAUGUUCCUUUCUGUUACAGAGUUUCAGUCUAUGUUGAGUCAAGCAAUUAUAGGGCUGCUUAAACUCUGGUUCAUUAGCCAUGGUCCACUAGCAUCCAUGUCAUGGCGCUAGGGUUUAAUAUGGUUAAUAGGAUCCUGGAUGAGGAAGUAGAUUGAAAAUUAACUUUAAAUUAAACAUAAAACACUAAAAAUAAUUAGAAGCAUUUAAAAAUAAAUGUUUCCAUAUAUGAGUUAGAAAAUCGGACUUUAUUUUGAUCCUAGGGGCUGCUGGCUAUAGUGAAAUGUAUAAAAAAGAGAGCGUGAUCCUAGUUUCUGUCUCUACUAUGGGUUACUUGUGAUUAACUUCAAAUAUUCCCUCCGCAAGAAGAGGCCCAGUAGAAGAAAAUGAGCUUCAGUUAUUCCAGCACAACUACUGUGAUAUUUGUAAAGAUUCAAAACCUAUAAUAAAAUGUGUAAAAGGAAACUCCAUUUGAAAUGAUUUGAAAUCUCACAUGGAAAUCUAGUUUUUUAAAUCAGAGCUUAGUCAGAGAAAAUAACAGAAUAUUGUAAUAAUUGAAUUACAAAAACAAAAAUUUUGGAAAAUAAUUUUUUCUCUCAUGUGAUGUGUGUAUGUCUAUCUAUUUAGCAAUGGUGUUAUUCCAUCAAAUGGGAUUAGAUUCAUUUUUGACUCCUGCUAAGCACCCUGUCCCCCCAACCUCAAGAUUAUGAAAGUGGAAGGGAAGGGGGAGAUAGGGAGGAAAUAUGACUUAUUUAAACUGUAUUAAAAUGCUGAAAUAAAAUGAACAUUCAAAACUCCUAUGAUUGAAUUUAAUCUUUUGUUCAACUCAUUCACUGAGGAAAUCUGUCUCCAAAUGGUUCAUAUCGUAGAAUAUGAUGACUCCAGUAACCUCUCCUAGACUCCACAUUUGCUAUAAAGACUAUCGUGGCUGAUGAUAGAUGAUGAAAUUUACUCUCAUGGUUUGCAGGGAGCCUAGUGCCAAUAAUUUAAGACUUUCCAUGAUACAUCACUAACUUUAUAUUCUAAGCAAUCACAACCUAUUUUUAUCCACCUGCUGUUUUAUGGCUUAGAAAUCACUUUAUUUGUUUGUGAUGGUAAUUUAUUAUAAAAAAGAUUUUCAAAUUACAUAUUUGCAUUGAAUUAGGGAAGGAAUUAAAAUGCUUUGCUCCACCAUUCUUGGUAAAUAAAUAUAAUCUUUUCAAUAGUUUGAAGGUUCUCAAGGAAAUGAGACUCUUGGUCACUUUUAGAGUUUUUUAUUUAUGAACAAAAUCUGUGGGAGCAUAUUCAAGUUUUAGGCAAGAGAAGCCCAGAAAUCAGUUCUUAAGUUAGUAGAGAAGGGUUGUAACUACAUAUUUGGAGGACUUUUAUCAUUUAGAAUAUGUCGUGGGUGGCUCUUUCAAAAUAUUGUCUACUAGCAGCCAUUGAAAUAAUAUUUCUCUUACUUCAGACAUCUGAUGGCUACCUUUAUAAUUUCUGCCUAUAGGAAUCUAUUAUACCUAUAUCAUUAUUUUCCUAAUUUUUCUUCAAAUAAACUCACUUUUCACUUCAAUAAAUUUACAUAAGGGAAAUUUGAUAUCACAACUAUGAAUUAAAACCAUGUUUAACAACCGUAAGUGAAAGGUAAUUAAAAAAUAAAAUCAAUCUUAUUAAUUCUAGUUAGAUACUAUUCCUAUUGAAGAAUAAAUCAUAAAAAUAGACAUUCAG
rnacentral:lncRNA from 1 species